UAGCACGUAGGUAACCUGCCUCACACAGGGGGAUAACAGUUAGAAAUGACUGCUAAUACCGCAUAAGCGCACAGGGCUGCAUGGCCCGGUGUGAAAAGCUCCGGCGGUGUGAGAUGGACCUGCGUCUGAUUAGCCAGUUGGCGGGGUAACGGCCCACCAAAGCGACGAUCAGUAGCCGGCCUGAGAGGGUGGACGGCCACAUUGGGACUGAGACACGGCCCAG
rnacentral:rRNA from 1 species